rnacentral:misc_RNA from 1 species
GGACUACUGGGGUAUCUAAUCCCGUUCGCUCCCCUAGCUUUCGUUCCUCAGCGUCAGAAAAGACCCAGUGAGCCGCUUUCGCCACCGGUGUUCCUGAUGAUAUCAACGCAUUUCACCGCUCCACCAUCAGUUCCGCUCACCUCUGUCUUCCUCUAGCUAAACGGUUUGAAGCGCAGUUCCUCGGUUGAGCCGAGGGCUUUCACACCUCACCUGUUUAGCCGCCUACGAACUCUUUAAGCCCAGUGAUACCGAAUAACGUUUGGACGGUUCGUCUUACCGCGGCGGCUGGCAC